rnacentral:lncRNA from 1 species
AGGAAAAUAUAAAUAUUGACCUUAAUAAAUAUUUUUUAAUAUUCAAUAAUAAAUAAAUAAAUAUUAAUGCAACUAAGAUAAUUGCCUCUAUGACUUACUAAGACUCCAUUUCUUCUCCUCUAAUAUUAUUUUCCUUCAUUUAACAUCUUCUAAGUACAUCUUCACCUAAAAAUUGUAAUUUUGAUACUCUACAAGCAUUCUUUUAUUCUAAAACAACUAGUGAGUCAAUUUGAUGAUUCACACUUAUCUUGAAUUGUGACUUCAAUUAUGGAUCUUUUUGUUUCUCCUUCUCUAUUUUUUAUAUUCUUUUUUCCAAGAAGCAUUUAUCUACCUUUUUCAUCUAAUUUUUUCUUCUUAAAUAUUUUCUUCUUUUAUUGAUGAAGAAAUCUUUUGAAUUAUUUUAAGCUCCUUCUACACUACUUUGUGAAUAGAGGGGAUACAAGGGAUGGAAGGAAUGAUAAAAUCUCCCUAACACUAGAAAAAAAUCCUCAACUGGAA